UACGUAUGGUGCAAGCGUUAUCCGGAUUUACUGGGUGUAAAGGGAGCGUAGGUGGCAAGGCAAGCCAGAAGUGAAAACCCGGGGCUCAACCGCGGGAUUGCUUUUGGAACUGCCAUGCUAGAGUGCAGGAGGGGUGAGCGGAAUUCCUAGUGUAGCGGUGAAAUGCGUAGAUAUUAGGAGGAACACCAGAGGCGAAGGCGGCUCACUGGACUGUAACUGACACUGAGGCUCGAAAGCGUGGGGAGCAAACAGG
rnacentral:rRNA from 1 species